rnacentral:piRNA from 1 species
AGAAACAGGACUGAAUAAAUGUGUG